rnacentral:rRNA from 1 species
AUUGAACGCUGGCGGCAGGCCUAACACAUACAAGUCGAACGGUAACAGGAAACAGCUUGCUGUUUCGCUGACGAGUGGCGGACGGGUGAGUAAUGUCUGGGAAACUGCCUGAUGGAGGGGGAUAACUACUGGAAACGGUAGCUAAUACCGCAUAACGUCGCAAGACCAAAGAGGGGGACCCUCGGGCCUCUUGCCAUCGGAUGUGCCCAGAUGGGAUUAGCUUGUUGGUGGGGUAACGGCUCACCAAGGCGACGAUCCCUAGCUGGUCUGAGAGGAUGACCAGCCACACUGGAACUGAGACACGGUCCAGACUCCUACGGGAGGCAGCAGUGGGGAAUAUUGCACAAUGGGCGCAAGCCUGAUGCAGCCAUGCCGCGUGUAUGAAGAAGGCCUUCGGGUUGUAAAGUACUUUCAGCGGGGAGGAAGGGAGUAAAGUUAAUACCUUUGCUCAUUGACGUUACCCGCAGAAGAAGCACCGGCUAACUCCGUG